CGCCUAUAGAAAAAUUAUAGGUACUGCCUGCUCAAUGCUCUAAGUAAAUAGCCGCGGUAUUUUGACCGUGCAAAGGUAGCAUAAUCAUUAGUCUUUUAAUUGAAGGCUGGUAUGAACGGCAAGACGAGAAAUAGACUGUCUCUUAUGUAGCAUCUGAAUUUCAUUUUUAAGUGAAAAAGCUUAAAUAAAUUUAGAGGACGAUCAGACCCUAUAGAGCUUUUUUGUUGGGGCGACAGGGAGUUUUAAGAAACACUCUUUUUAUAUGAACAUUCAUACGUGGAUUGAAGAUCCUCUUAGGGAGAUUAAAAGAUUAAGUUACCUUAGGGAUAACAGCGUAAUUUUUUUGGAGAGUUCUUAUCGAUAAAAAAGUUUGCGACCUCGAUGUUGGAUUAAGAAAUUAGCAAGAUGCAGAAGUCUUGCUGGAAAGUCUGUUCGACUUUUAAAUUCUUACA
rnacentral:rRNA from 1 species